rnacentral:rRNA from 1 species
UACGGGGGGGGGCAAGCGUUGUUCGGAAUUACUGGGCGUAAAGCGCGUGUAGGCGGAUCGUUAAGUGUCUUGUGAAAUCCCACGGCUCAACCGUGGAACUGCUGGGCAUACUGGCGAUCUUGGGCCACUCAGGGGCAACCGGAACAAGCGGUGGAGCGGUGAAAUGCGUAGAGAUCGUGAGGAAGACCAGUGGCGAAGGCGGGUCUCUGGACAGUUCCUGACACUGAGGCACGAAGGCCAGGGGAGCAAACGGG